rnacentral:rRNA from 1 species
GAAGCCGUACUGGAAAGAGCGGUGGAGCGCUUGGAAGUGAGAAUGCCGGUGUAAGUAGCGAAAAGACAAGUGAGAAUCUUGUCCACCGAAAGCCUAAGGUUUCCUGGGGAAGGCUCGUCCUCCCAGGGUUAGUCGGGACCUAAGCUGAGGCCGAAAGGCGUAGGCGAUGGACAACAGGUUGAUAUUCCUGUACCACCUCUGUUCCGCUUGAGCAAUGGCGUGACGCAGGAGGAUAGGGUGAGCGGCCUACUGGAUGGCCGUCCAAGCAG